CGAAUUUAUGUAUCACUGGUAUCAUGUAUUUACACAUAAGACAUGUGUGACUGUCAAUGUAUUAGGCAUGGUGUUGAUACUUUAUGCAACUCUACAAAAUGCAAAUGCUCGAGUAAAUACUCUUUAAUCAAUUUGCGAAUAACUGUGCAACGAAUGAAGGAUCCAUGAUUUCAUUUGAAACUCUUUGGAGAUUAGAAUUUUUGAUAGUUGACUGCAGUGGUAACUUAUCAUAUGCACGAGAAACAGUGAUGGCGAAUAUAAAACUGCGGAGAACGAUUUCGGACAGAUAUGGUUUAAUUUUGUGUUAGUCGGUUUGAACAAUUGUGCUGUUAAUGACUGAGAGUGCAACGAAUGUUCCCCUUUCAUUAGUCUUUACGGGGGAGUGGGGAUACGAAUCUUCGAGCGCGGAAUCCACGAUAUUACGUUGUCAUCUCCGGCGAAAGAUUCCAUCGACGUACGGAAGAUGAACAAAAGGAGCCAGCGACGUGUACUGUUCCCAGUGUUCACAGGUGAAUUGAGGCGUGAGGAGAAGGUGGAGUCUUCCAUGGGUUCCCAUAAGAUGAACCCACAUAGCGUGACGCCGAAGGAAACAGAUGUUCAACCACAAAAGGGUACAAUGGGAACAUGCAGUAUACAAGGCUACAAUGAAUUUGAUGUGCAACUUGCUCGUUGAACUUUGUAUCUAUUCCAUAGUACAAAGUAAAAGAGCACCGAGAAAACGCUGUCCAGUGGUCAACCACGUAGAUGACAAUUACAUGAGAAGAGAGAUUUCAUUCGAGUAAUAACUGAGCAAAUAACGAACAAAUGGGUGUAAUCGUACGUUUAUACGAAUCAUGGUCAACAGUGUCCGAGGGCAAGGGUAGUUUCGUCGGAGGACAGUCGGAGGACAUUCCCCCUACUUUUCGUGACUCGUCGCAGGACACCGCGUGUACGUGUGUGUGUGUGUUCGGUGUGACACACGUUCCUCCCACCUGCACGACACCCCGGACGGACGGACGAGCUGGCAGGCAGUCGGCUUCCUUCGUAGGGACAUGCGCACCGACCCGCGGAACGACAGGUGCGCGCCGUUCGCCGCAAACCGCUUAGUUUCGGGUGAGCGUACGAAUCGGACGUAUCGCAUAGUGGCACCGCGCGUUCUCCCGGCACAUCAGUCGCGGUCGCGGGUCUCUUUCCGUCUGUCUAUUCCUCCCUUCUGUCCGUUUCUACUCGGCCGUCGUGAGAAUACCACCACCGAAACACGCGAAUUCGUCAUAACGAGAAAGACGGUCACCGACGCGAGUCGAUCGUCACGCGGAUCGUUCACCGAGCUUGUCACACGUCGGGAGAGGAGAUCGUCAGUUCCGCGCGCGAUCUCGUUCGAUUCAGGAUAACGUUGCAACGAUCCUCCGUCCGACAGCUCGUCGACGCCCUGGACCCUCGCAACCACCGGUCUUCGUCUCUCCGUCGUUUCUCUCGUUCUUCUAUCGUGCCCGCUGGCUGCGUAGUAGCCCGCUGUUUAUCGAGCGUGCACGUGCUCCGAUUCGUGUCACUCGUCGCGCUCCGUUGACACGCGAACUCCGAAAAUCCGCAACGCCGGACAACCGGAUUGUCACCGAUGGAUUCGACGUGAUCGCGAAUCGGAUGUUCCGCGGGAAGCUUGAUCUCCGUGGGAGAAUCUUGGGCUGCGGUUGUACUCGAUCCGGUCUGAAUUAUACCGCGGACUGUCAGACGACCCACGUUGCCGGGACAGUGGAAGAUAUAUUGAAUCGUAUCGCGUAGCUGCGGUCGUUCGGAAAUUAUUGGCCGGCCGGUUAACCCUCCCGUGAGUUGUGUGUUCCGCCGCGAGUGAAGGUCGAGAGUAGAGGGUGUAUAUUAUCACGGUACAGUGGCAAGACGAAUGUGGUGCGUGAAUUACUGAGUUCCGUUGUUUCGAACGAGUUCCGCGAGUUGCCGACUUUCAUCAGGAUGGCCAGGGAUUUACUCGGAAGGAUUACGGGGAAGGACGCGGCCUCGACGAUCAUCCUCUUCUUGCUCGGCUCCUUGCAGCUUCUUCAAAACGUUCAA